rnacentral:lncRNA from 1 species
CUGGGUACAAGCCUGGUCUCCAGCACUCCCACCUGUGUGAUUUGAACAAGUCAACUAAAUUCUCCUUGCCCUGACUUCCUCAGGGCAAGAGGAAUAGGGAAGAGUUAACAUCUUUUCUUGAUUGUUAUGAUAAUAAUUAAAUAGAAUACUUUGUGCCAGGGAUUGUACAAAAUGCUGGACACACAAUGGGCCUCCAAAUCUUGCUAAUAUCAUUAUUCAUUUGGUGAAUAAUGAACUUCUUUGAGUAACUUCUCCUGUUAUUUCAAAAUUGCACAACAAAUUAAAAAUGAAAAGAUAUCUAUUACAUUCUAUCAAAGGGAAAAGUUGGACAUAUAACAUGAAGUUUUAUAAACAAAAUUUUUAAAACUAUGUGUAUUUAUGUAUAUCUAUGUAUUUUCAUGUCCACGUGUGUGUUUUGUGUGUGUGCAUGUACUCAAGCAUAAUAAUACAUCUGGGGAAAAAAUCUGUCAGCAAGUAAUUAUUAGUGAAGGGACAACUCAGUUUUUUGACUCACUUUAUCCUGUCACAUUUGGAUUUUUGAAAUCAUGUAUUAACCUUAUAAUGAAAUUAAGUAUAAUGCUGAAAUAAGACAAAAUAGAAUCAACCAAAGUUAUAAAUAAUUUUAAAGAGUUGCACUGUGCUUACUUUUUUUCUGACCAAAAAAUAAAAAUAAAGAAGAUAUUGAAUAAAAAAAUACAAUGACUCUGCAAAGUAGCCUGAGAAGCUUAGAGCUUCAUUGACAAUUUCCCCAGCAAUCUAUCCAGAAUUAUUUUACUUCCUAUGAUAACAGUUGAUCUCACUGUAGCCCCAUCUCUUCUGAAAUCUUUCUUUCUGAAUUCUUGUUGUCCUCUGAAUUUGUACCAUAUCAUUUAAAAAUUGUCAAAUGACUCUGUAAGCUGGG